GGUGCAUGGGGAUGGCUGCUCUCAAGGAUGAGUUAAGAUAAAGGGAAAACAACUGCCAAGAUGAGGUGAUGGUAUGGUGAAUGGAGGAUCAUUUCUUAAAAAAAGGUCAAGAACCCACCGUGUGGAUCGCAUAGUAACCAAGGGAACUAGCUGUACCACCCUGAAGGGAUCUGACAGAGUUCUGUGAAAGUGAUGGAACAACAGAGAACUGGAGAAGAGGCUGCAGGCUGCCAUGGGCUCUUCUGUCUGCAUGGGGACCCGGUCGUAUUUCUGUGCUGGUCUCAGCACACUGCUGGUUUGGUGCCUGGGAGCCACAAGCUGCUGAUGGCUGGAGCUGGAGCCAUGCUGACCUACAGUAUCACCCAGGUUCAUUUCUGGAGGAAAACUGCUGCCUCAUCUCAGAUAUGAGGUUGUCUUUUCCUCCAGGCUCCAUGGGAUACAACUGCCCUAGAAGCGGGCAUCACUGAUUCUUUGCACCUUAUAUGUGAUCUUCAAAUUAGCAUAGAAGUUACUCCCUUUUGCUACAAUCACCACCUUUGAAGAAACUCCCUAUUUCCAUUCCUUCUCCUCUGAGCUGUGAAGAGGAGCUCAUAGUUCCAGAGUGACCAGACAUCUGUACGUGGUUAUCUUCGCUGUGGUCUGUAAGAAUGUCCAAGAAGUCAGGACAUUACCAUGCACUUGGAAACACUGCAGCAUGGACAGAGAAGUCAAUAUAUUUGAAAGCAAAUCAGAAAGACUGUUUUUAUUUCUGUAUUUCUAAAAGAAUCUCCUCUAUGAUUUCUGCAACACUACAUACAACCCAACUGAAUGGGAGU